UUCCCGAAGAUUUAAAAUGCUGCUUUCCGUUUCUUCUUCCAAAAUCUAUCACUUUUAUCCUUUCCGAUUAAAUCUUUAAGCCCCUCUGACCUGCAGUUUCAUCUUCACAGGAUUUUUGUGGCACUUGAAUGACAUAACGAGGAAUAUGAAGAGAAUUCAUGGUUUGGGGGAUCAAUAAUGGGAGAAAGGGGAUGUGAACUAAGUGAUUUUUAAGAUCUUCUCCAACUCUAGGUGUGCCUGGGUGGCUCAGUCAGAAAAGGCUCUCCACCCCACAGCUGCCACCUGAGUAUGCACUGGGAAAAUCACAGAAGACUUCAAGUCAUCAGUGUUAACUACCUCCUUCCUUCCUUGAAUCUCCUAGCAGACAUGUAUAUACCUAAAGUUUUUACAUUCUGGAACUGCCCCAUCAUCUAGAACUCAACUUCCCCCAAAUAAAACAUUUUC